GACGAACGCUGGCGGCGUGCCUAAUACAUGCAAGUCGAACGAGAGCAACCGGUGCUUGCACUGGUCAAUCUAGUGGCGAACGGGUGAGUAACACGUGGGUAACCUGCCCAUCAGAGGGGGAUAACAUCGGGAAACGGAUGCUAAAACCGCAUAGGCCUUCGAACCGCAUGGUUUGAAGGGGAAAAGAGGCGCAAGCUUCUGCUGAUGGUUGGACCCGCGGUGCAUUAGCUAGUUGGUGAGGUAACGGCUCACCAAGGCAGUGAUGCAUAGCCGACCUGAGAGGGUGAUCGGCCACAUUGGGACUGAGACACGGCCCAGACUCCUACGGGAGGCAGCAGUAGGGAAUCUUCCGCAAUGGACGCAAGUCUGACGGAGCAACGCCGCGUGAGUGAAGAAGGUUUUCGGAUCGUAAAACUCUGUUGUUAGGGAAGAACAAGUGCUAGAGUAACUGUUAGCGCCUUGACGGUAGCUAACCAGAAAGCCACGGCUAACUACGUG
rnacentral:rRNA from 1 species